ACAGAAUCCACGCGCCUGGAGCAAGCAGACGAAAGAGGCACACAUUGAUGCUGGACUCCACCUGUUCACAUAACGUGCAGCUGUGUAACGAACGUACAUCUCAUUCAGCUUUACUCCACACACCAGUCCCCUUGUUUCCAUAAUACAUGUAGUACCCCCCCCUUCUUGGAGCAUUGAUGAAGGAUCAGGCAAGAUGACAGUCCGUUCGUGGAAUCAAGAGGGCCGCAUCUUACAUCCUUGAGAAUUGGACGAAGACAAGAAAAAGGGGCACUUGUUGGCAAGUGGAUAGAAGCAGCGAUGGUUGUGAGAGUGGAAGGAACAUGUGCUGUCUGUCCAGGAGAAGUCUGUCUUCCGCAGUGACCCGCUGAUGCCUGACUGUAGUGUGACAUGAUUGAGUAUCCUGACUCGUCUACCUCUUUGCCUGCAGUACUAGUGAAUGUCCUGACGCUGACACCCUACGGCACCUGUUGGAAUCACAACACAUCACCUGAUAUGCACUAUGCAAGUUGAGGUUAACAGCUAAGUGCUGCAUUUACAGUGGUCCGCCAUCUUGAAGAAUCAAUUUUUUUGAUGAAGAUGUGCGGGCAAAAAACAUCAGCGAGGCCCAAGCGGUCCCUGUCUGCCACGGCUUCCCUCGACAAACGUAGAUAGCACAAGCCAGAUGCUACAACACUCAGAGAUUAGAUUUGCAGAAAAAAGUGUACAGAAUAUCUUCUGAUGGUAAACAUGGUUUAAGGCUUUUUGUCGUGUUUGAAACAGUUUUAGGCUUUUGGGAACAGGGAAUACGAGUAGAUGUUUUUCACUGAACAUGCACAACUUCUUUUUACACAACAAACCCAUAUACACGUAGAACUGCUUUUCAGGGCUUAAUUUUGUCUGCAGAGAAGGAAAUCAAGCAUGUUUUAAGUUACUUUUGCUGUCAUGUCUGAGGAAAAAAAAAUUACAUAGCAUUAGACAAAUUGUUCACUCAACUGGAGACAUUUCAAAAUGUCCGUCAUACGUACUGUUCAUGAUGGCACAAAGUAAUCACCGUCGUCCCUUUAAUUAACCUGUGAAAUAGGACUUUUACAUUCUUGAAAAACCUGGAGAAAUGAACCGAUGUACCAUUUUACUGCUUUUCAUUUUUUUCCUGAAGUUUCGAGAUUUUAUGCAGAAUUUUUGUCAGAUUGUAGGAACUUCUUAUUCAAAAUAAGCAGGUACCUGUAAUGCCCAUCAUGUUCCUAGAAGGUAUAUACCAAGAUAGACUUCGAGGCUUACUACCAAACUUUCUUAUAUAUGGCCAAAGAAAUUAAAAUUCAGACGCCCUGAAAUUUUAGUCGUUGCAGAAUCUCAAUCUCGGAUGUUCCACAGUUAAAUUUUCUGGGACAAAUAUAAUAAAUGGAUAUUUUGAAGAGGUUUAAAAAUAGAAAGGCUUGCAAUUAUGUUGUGGACUUAUAAAAUACUGAAGUAUA